UCCGAGUUGUCCCCGGCAGUCCUCUUAGAGUCCCCGGCAUUACCCGCUGGCAACUAAGAGCAGGGGUUGCGCUCGUUGCGGCACUUAAGCCAACACCUCACGGCACGAGCUGGCGACAGCCAUGCAGCACCUGUGCUGGCCCCUUACGGACACGGGCUUUCACCCGCUUUAACCAGCAUGUCAAGCCCAGGUAAGGUUCUUCGCGUUGCAUCGAAUUAAGCCACACGCUCCGCUGCUUGUGCGGGCCCCCGUCAAUUCCUUUGAGUUUUAAGCUUGCGCUCGUAGUUCCCAGGCGGGCCACUUCCCGCGUUAGCUCCGCCACAAGAGGGGUCGAUUCCUCUUACAGCAAGCAAGCACCGUUUAGGGCUAGGACUAC
rnacentral:misc_RNA from 1 species